GUUGUCUGAUUCAUCUGAAAAUUUCAGGGCAGAUAGAUCUUGACCUGAUAAACAAUAUUAACCCAUGUCAGAUUUGCUCUAAAUGCUUUGGUUUUUGAGUUAUAAGCCAAAAACUGCAUUUGACCCCUAUGUUCUAUUUUUAGCAAUGGCGACCAUGUUUGUUGAUAGAUCAAAACUUCGGAUACAAUUUAUAAAUAAGAUACCCUAAGGAACAUUCAGUUAAAGUUUGAAAGUAUUUGGCCCAGUAGUUUCAGAGGAGAAGAUUCUUGAAAUAGUUUACGACGACAGACGACGACGGACGACGACGGACGCCAAGUGAUGGCAUAAGCUCACUUGUCCCUUCGGGACAGGUGAGCUAAAAAAGA
rnacentral:lncRNA from 1 species